rnacentral:lncRNA from 1 species
CUAACCCCAAGUAGCAAAAGAUUAUUUUUGGAGAGGGAGAAUAACAUUUUUCUCACUUGUAGAACUCCAGUGUACAACUGCAAAUUGCUACCUACAAAACCAGCACUCUGAAAUUAUCCAUCACACACUGACCAUGCUGCUUUUCUUGCUGGGCUCUGAGUGGGUUUCAAAAGAAAUUACAAAAACUCCCGGAGUCAUUUCCACUCAGAACCUAGAGAUUUCCAAGGAUCCCGUCCAAAACUCUGCAGGAUCAAGCUUUGUACCUGCCCUUCCUGGUGCAAGGGUUUAUUGUCCUGGACGUUUGAGAAUUGCUUUGUCCUUCCAUGGUGAGGGAGAUGAGGACCACAGGGACUGCUCCCAGCUGGUGCCAGCUCCCUCUCUGCUGUGCCUGCGGCUGUGCCAUCUCCAGGGACAGGCAGUGGCAGAUCCCAGGAAUGUCCAGCCCCACUGCCCCUGGCACAUCCCACCUCCCAGCCUGCGCUGCACUAAAUGGCUCCAGCCUGAGUAAUCGCGUUCCAAUUGCAAUUUGCAUAAUUGCCUCCUGCUUUCAGAUCUCCUGCAGUUCCUUUUAGGUUAAAGUCUUGUUGUCUCCUUAUCCAAGGUGGUUGUUUAAUGCUACAACUUGCUUGAAAACGGCAACAUCUUCUCUCCCCCCCGAGCCAGCUGCACUUCCAAGGGUGGGGACACGUGUGCCAGUGCACUGGAAAAUGAAGGUGUUUUGGAAAGAAAGCACUACAGGCUGGCUAUCAACGUGCACAGCAAUAAAUCAGGGCCAACAUCUCCUCCCCA